UACGUAGGGUGCAGGCGUUAGUCGGAAUUACUGGGCGUAAAGCGUGCGCAGGCGGUUUGCUAAGACAGGUGUGAAAUCCCCGGGCUUAACCUGGGAACUGCGCUUGUUACUGGCAGGCUUGAGUGUGGCAGAGGGGGGUGGAAUUCCACGUGUAGCAGUGAAAUGCGUAGAGAUGUGGAGGAACACCGAUGGCGAAGGCAGCCCCCUGGGCUAACACUGACGCUCAUGCACGAAAGCGUGGGGAGCAAACAGG
rnacentral:rRNA from 1 species